GAUGAACGCUGGCGGCGUGCCUAAUACAUGCAAGUCGAGCGAACAGACGAGGAGCUUGCGCCUCUGACGUUGGCGGCGGACGGGUGAGUAACACGUGGAUAACCUACCUAUAAGACUGGGGUAACUUCGGGAAACCGGGGCUAAUACCGGAUAAUAUAUUGAACCGCAUGGUGCAAUAGUUAAAGACGGUUUUGCUGUCACUUAUAGAUGAAUCCGCGCCGCAUUAACUAGUUGGUAAGGUAACGGCUUACCAAGGCAACGAGGCUUAGCCGCCCUCAGAGGGUCAUCGGCCAGCCUGGCACUGAGAAACGUCCCAGACUCCUACGGGAGGCAGCAGUAGGGAAUCCUCCGGAAUGGGGGAAAGCGGGACGGAGCAACGCCGCGUGAGUGAUGAAGGUCUUCGGAUCGGAAAACUCUGUUAGUAGGGAAGAAGAAAUGCGUAAGUAACUAUGCACGUAUUGACGGUACCUAAUCAGAAAGCCACGGCUAACUACGUG
rnacentral:rRNA from 1 species